CCUACGGGUUGCAGCAGUGAGGAAUAUUGGUCAAUGGGCGAGAGCCUGAACCAGCCAAGCCGCGUGAGGGAGUACUGACCUAUGGGUUGUAAACCUCUUCUGUCGGGGAACAAAAGCCGGAACUGUCCUGAUGUGAGAGUACCAGAAGAAUAAGCAUCGGCAAACUCCGAGCCAGCAGCCGCGGUAAUACGGAGGAUGCGAGCGUUAGCCGGAUUUUAUGGGUUUAAGGGGUGCGGAGGUGGAGUGCUAAGGCAGCGGUAAAAUCGUGGGGCUGAAACCCAUUCAGCCGUUGAAACUGGGGAUCUAGAGUGUGCGAGAGGUAUGCGGAAUGCGUGGUGUAGCGGUGAAAUGCAUAGAUAUCACGCAGAACCCCGACGGCGAAGGCAGCAUACCGGUGCACAACUGACGCUCAGGCACGAAAGCGUGGGUAUCGAACAGGAUUAGAUACCCCUGUAGUC
rnacentral:rRNA from 1 species